AGCUUUGUCAGUGGCAGUGUUGUAUCCAAUGAGGUUUAUCUGAGGUGCAAUUAUUGCUAAUUCAAAUAUUGCAAUAUAGCCAAGGAUUUAGCUCAGUGGUGCCACUGCCUAUAUAUAUAUAUA
rnacentral:snRNA from 1 species